ACGGAUCCUUCGGGAUUAGUGGCAGACGGGUGAGUAACGCGUGGGAAGCUACCUUGUGGUAGGGGACAACAGUUUGAAAAGACUGCUAAUACCCUAUGAGCCCUAUGGGGGAAAGAUUUAUCGCCAUGAGAUGUGCCCGCGUUAGAUUAGCUAGUUGGUAAGGUAAUGGCUUACCAAGGCGACGAUCUAUAGCUGGUCUGAGAGGAUGAUCAGCCACACUGGGACUGAGACACGGCCCAGACUCCUACGGGAGGCAGCAGUGGGGAAUAUUGGACAAUGGGGGCAACCCUGAUCCAGCCAUGCCGCGUGUGUGAUGACGGCCUUAGGGUUGUAAAGCACUUUCAGCAGUGAAGAUAAUGACAUUAACUGCAGAAGAAGCCCCGGCUAACUUCGUGCCAGCAGCCGCGGUAAUACGAAGGGGGCUAGCGUUGUUCGGAAUCACUGGGCGUAAAGAGUACGUAGGCGGACUGAUAAGUUAGGGGUGAAAUCCCAAGGCUCAACCUUGGAACUGCCUUUGAUACUGUCAGUCUUGAGAUCGAGAGAGGUGAGUGGAACUCCGAGUGUAGAGGUGAAAUUCGUAGAUAUUCGGAAGAACACCAGUGGCGAAGGCGGCUCACUGGCUCGAUACUGACGCUGAGGUACGAAAGCGUGGGGAGCAAACAGGAUUAGAUACCCUG
rnacentral:rRNA from 1 species